GUGGAUUAGAUACCCGGGUAGUCCACGCCCUAAACGAUGUCAACUAGGUGUUGGGUGGGUAAAACCAUUUAGUACCGGAGCUAACGCGUGAAGUUGACCGCCUGGGGAGUACGGCCGCAAGGUUAAAACUCAAAGGAAUUGACGGGGACCCGCACAAGCGGUGGAUGAUGUGGAUUAAUUCGAUGCAACGCGAAAAACCUUACCUACCCUUGACAUGUCCAGGAGCCUGAAGAGAUUUGGGUGUGCCCGAAAGGGAACUGGAACACAGGUGCUGCACGGUCGUCGACAACU
rnacentral:rRNA from 1 species